rnacentral:rRNA from 1 species
GAUGAACGCUGGCGGCGUGCCUAAUACAUGCAAGUCGAGCGAACAGACGAGGAGCUUGCUCCUCUGACGUUAGCGGCGGACGGGUGAGUAACACGUGGAUAACCUACCUAUAAGACUGGGAUAACUUCGGGAAACCGGAGCUAAUACCGGAUAAUAUAUUGAACCGCAUGGUUCAAUAGUGAAAGACGGUUUUGCUGUCACUUAUAGAUGGAUCCGCGCCACAUUAGCUAGUUGGUAAGGUAACGGCUUGCCAAGGCAACGAUGCGUAGCCGACCUGAGAGGGUGAUCGGCCACACUGGAACUGAGACACGGUCCAGACUCCUACGGGAGGCAGCAGUAGGGAAUCUUCCGCAAUGGGCGAAAGCUUGACGGAGCAACGCCGCGUGAGUGAUGAAGGUCUUCGGAUCGUAAAACUCUGUUAUUAGGGAAGAACAAAUGUGUAAGUAACUAUGCACGUCUUGACGGUACCUAAUCAGAAAGCCACGGCUAACUACGUG